rnacentral:rRNA from 1 species
AUUGAACGCUGGCGGCAUGCCUAACACAUGCAAGUCGAGCGGGUCGGCGGACGGGUGAGUGUUGCCUAGGCAUCUGCAUGGUCGUGGGGGAUAACGUCCAGUAACGGGCGCUAAUGCUGCAUCCUAUCGUUAUACCCUCGGUCGGUUUAGCUAGUUGGUGGGGUAAAGGCCUACCCAGGCGACGAUCAGUAACUGGUCUGAGAGGAUGAGCAGUCACACUGGAACUGAGACACGGUCCAGACUCCUACGGGAGGCAGCAGUGGGGAAUAUUGGACAAUGGGCGAAAGCCUGAUCCAGCCAUGCCGCGUGUGUGAAGAAGGCCUUCGGAUUGUAAAGCACUUUAAGUAGGGAAGCGUUACCAAAAGAAUAAGCACCGGCUAACUUCGUGCCAGCAGCCGCGGUAAUAC